UCCGUCUUUAUGACCUUUACACAGGUAAAGAGUUUCUCUUCCUUGGGGGAAGAGCAGUUACUCUGCCUUCACGAGCUAUUGCCUGUGACUGGCUUAGAGGGCCCUCAACAAAGUAGACCAGACCAAAGCAGAACAGCCUUCCAGACUUGAUACACGAGGGGUUUGUUCUAGGGAUGCAAAAAACUUCUAAAACAUUAGCUGUGGCCACAUUUUCACUUGCAGCGCUGGAGAUUGAUGUUCUGGCAUUCGAUUUAGCAGGUCUAGUUAAGACCCACCAAAUUGAAUGCUGAGGGCAGCUCCAGUCAGCACCGGUACUUCUCACAGGCGGAAGGGAAGCUCCCGUCGGCCUCUCUCUGUGAAGACGGUGCCGAGCUCGGUUUAAGAUGUGUCGACUCCAGCUACAUAUUUUAUGUAGCCAGAGUUGCAUACUUUAAACAAAACCUUCCAGGUAUAGUGUAGACAGCCUGAGUAACCGAUUAAAAUUUAUAGUCGGUUACAUGGUUAAAUGAGCUCCGCCAACCACACCAGUCCCCACAGGUUGCUGACUUCUGACUGCGCCGGCCCCCAUAGGCUGCCGAGUUCACUGGCUCCUGGCCCCACCAGCUCUGGUCCCUGAGGCCUACCAGCAGCCCACCAGUGUUUAACUGUUAACCAGAACCGAUAAGCACCAGCUUAACAGUUAAACUUUUACAUCCCUAGUUUGUUCCCUGUGGUCUUGGUAGCGGCGAGAAACCUUUUCCUUUUUGUACAUUGUACCCCUUUCUAUUGUUGAUAAAGAAACCUGAUAAUUUUAGGAGAGAUGCAGCUGUGUUCAGUUGUCUGAGAAUGUCUUGUUUGACCUAAUGUGCAUCGAAUAGGAAUUGUCUGUUGUUUCUUUAAAGCCUAAAUGAAUUUUAUGGCCCCAUUAUAUCAGAGAAAAGGCCCAGAAAAGAACCCGCUUCACUCAGCCUGCAGGAAUGAACCUGAGACUAAAAGUCUGAGCCAGUCUCCAACAAGGUCCUUGUAGAGCAAAUAAAUCCAAUUCUUUCCUCUGAUAUGCAGCUUUUGGAGUCUUGUCUUUGCUGCAGAGGUAGCGCUUACCAGGUGUUACCCCUAGUCCUCCUCCCAUCUCCCACACAGUCUUUUCACACAAGUUAAUUGUGCUUUGUCCCAGCCAACAGCCUCUCACUUGGGCACACCCACUUUGCAAUGAAGGUGCAGGCUCAAUCACUCAAGUGCUAGCAGUCUUUCAGUGCCUUCCCAUAAUUCCACUGUGUGGCCAGGAGUUCUCCCACAAUUCACCAGGAAAAAGUCAACAUGGCUGAAUUUACUGUAGCACAAGCCCAUGAAGACAUCCUAGUGACACAUACAGGGGAGCAACCCACCAGUGAGGAUACUCAACUUGAGCAUGGAUUUAGAGCAUACACUGAUGCCCAGCUACUGUUCACCCAAGCUAACUGCAGUGAAGACUUACUCUCAGGAUUUAUGAGCUGUGUGUUAAUCCAGUGGCUCUCAACCUUUCCCAGCUGUAGUACCCUUGAAGCAGAGACCUGCCACAUGGGGCUGAAGCAUGUAACUCAGCUUCUUGUGACUCAAGGCAAUCGCCCUGCCUGCUGCCCCUUAGUGCUGGCUCUGCACUUGCAACGCUUUAAACCUAUGCCAUGGUCCCCCUAAUUGAGGAACACUGAUCUAGUUGAGUUGACGUACACCCUGGAAGACUGCGUACUGCCCGACAUGACUGACGAAGAGGGUCUUUGCCCACCGAAGCUUAUGCUCCAAUAACUCUGUUACGUUAGAAGGUGCCACUGGUCUUCUCGUUGAAUCUGAAGAUAGUUCAUCAAGAAGAUCAAGUCACUACAGAAACUAAUGAAAAAUGAAGAGAUAGAAGACGACUCAGUGUUAACAAGCAUAAGAAUUUGGAGAUGGUCCCUAAGAAUUAUUGAUGAAAGGCAAAAAUCUGCCCUGAAUUCUACACCGUCCAAUUCCUCUAACAGCACUGAACGGGGGUUGUCAGGACAGAAAAUGAUUGACUUGAUGAUGCAGCUACGGAAUUCUAGCUGAAUAAUAAAGAGCUUAUUCUCACUCACGACCUCAAUAUUUAGAGAAUGAAAUCUUGUCCCCCUCGUUUACAAACACUUCCACAUCACAGCAGCCAGUCCAGAAAUGACCUCUGCUUACACGCCCUCGUAGGCAUGUGCCAGUCACCCUGCGAUAACUGAUCCUGUGUGUGCGUGCCUCCUCGCAAUCUCACCUCUAUCCCUGCAACAGCCUUCACCUCGAAACCUGCCCACUAGAACAGCCAUUGUGUCUCCCUGAAAAUCACGCCUGAAGAAACGUGUCUGAUGUUAUAGCUUGCUGCACAGGAAUAACUAUGAAGAAACCACACAGGCACAGCAGAGUUUCAAAUCACUCGCUUUUCUCUAUAGUGAAACACACUAAGUCUUGCUACGUACACAGAGUCAGAUUUUCAUAGAUUCCAAGGCCAGAUGGGACUAUCGUGAUCAGGUACAGCACAGGCCAUUAUGUACCACAAAAAAAAAAAAAUUCCUAGAGCAGAUUUUAGAAAAGCAUACCAUCUUGAUUGAAAAGUUGUCAGUGAUGUAGAAAUCCUUCAUGACCCCUUGAUAAAUUGUCCCAAUGAUUAAUUACAUUCACCGUUUAAAACAGAUGCCUUAUUUUCAAUGUGAAUUUUAAUAGCUUCACCUUCCAGGCAUUGGAUUGUAUUACACCGGCCUCUGCUAGACUGAGGAACCCCAGGUAUGUACUUCUAGACUGUCAUCAUUAAUAUUCACUAAGCUAAAUUAGAAGAGGUCCCCUGAAUCUCUCACUAGAAGGCAGGUUUCUAGUCCUUUCUCCAGUGGCUUUUCUCUGAAUCCUUUCUAGCUUCUCAACACUCUCUCUGAAUUGCGGGCACCAGAAUCGGACACAGGAUUCCAGCAGCGAUCAGAGCAGGGACAUAUAUAGAGGUGAAAUAAAUUCUCAAAUAAGAGUCUUCUGUUCAUGCCUCCGAGGAUCACAUCAGCCUUUUUAGCCACAGUGUUGCACUAGCUGCUGUUCUGCUGAUUAUCUGCCUGAAGCCACAGUUCUUUAUUCCGGGACGCAGUUACUCUGAAAGUCUCCCACCCAGCAAAUAUGGCCAGCAGUCUUUGUUCUUAGAUGUGUACACUGACAAAGCAUUUGGCCUCACCGUGCCCACACCACAAAGGUGGAUGAGAGGCAUACGUGUUUCCAUUAAAGAACAUAUCCUACACACCUACCUUGCCAGCAGAUCCAAACCGUGACCUGUCCUCUUGAACAUCGACCAGUCGAGUCUGUGAAUGAUGAUUGUGUUUUCUUCCAGAGCCAAGAGGAAAAAAAAAAACCUAAAUAGCACAGGGCCAAGCACAAAUCCCUGUGAAGUUGGAGAAUGAUUCCCUGGUUAUACGUUACAUUUUGAGACUGGUCCAUUAGCCGAUUUUAAUCCAUUAACGUGCGCACCAGGAAGGUGGGGGUGGAGCCACAGGGGAAGUGAACUGGUGGCUUUCUGGUUCUUGGCUUGAGUGGAUGUGUGUCAGGGACGUUGUGGGUGCAGCAAUGGUUUUUCAGAGUUCCUAGGGUCCCUCCCCAGGAGGCAGAAGGUGGGGCUGCCGGGGGAUUUGUGCCUUUGGGAAGUGGUUGGAGCUCUGAUGGGGACAGGCACAGCAGUUGUGCCAAUGGCAGCAUGUCAGUCCUCCCCCCGAAAGGGCCCUCGUCAGCCCAUCUCCUGUGCUUUUAAAAGAAUCAGCCUCUUUAUAAAUAACCUCAGAGUAGAUGGAUUUUCAUCUCUAUCUUUUUUCCCAGGGGCCGUGAGGCUCCCCCGCUGCCGCCACCAUCGCUUUCGAGAUGUGCGAAGAGGAAGGACAGAGAAAGUUAGUCUGGGCCAGGCAACCUGCAACGUCGUCCUUUUUUAACACGGGAAAGUAAUUUACCAUGGACAACCCCGGACUAAAUUAGGAAACUCUUUAUUUCAACCAAGAGUAUUACAAGAAAUCCAUAAAUGCGGUAAAACACACAUCAUAGUUCUCUAGGGUUGGAUAACAAAGCAAGUACCGGCCUGAUACCAGCCUAAUAAAACAGAAAUGAAAUAUAUUAACUCUAAUACCCAAGGGCUAGGUUACAGGAGAUGUCAACAUUCAGUUAAAGGCAGGAUACAUGGUCUUUCCGAGUCUUUUGGUACCUAAAAACCAUCCACGAGGCAGUUGGUCAGUGAGAAUGGAGGCUAUCAAGAGCCAACCUCUUUGCUACCAGGCUCGGGGUAGAGGUGCACCACCGUUCAGCUGGCAUUCUAAGCACAGAAGAAGCCUAACUGGUUAGUGGAAAGGAUGCAUCAUGGAUCCUCUCUAUUUACUCAGUUAUAAAAGAUGAAAGAACCCCGAGUUCUUGCAUUGGCAGGGCUGCUGCUACAUGCUGUGUCCUCUCUCCCACGCUCUCUUUCUACCCUGGGCAGAAGAUUCUAUGUAACGAUCUAUUUGUCCACCACGGCCCCAUGCAGUCUCAGACAUGUCCCUUUACUUUCCUGAUCUCACUGUCCAGGACUAAAGGUGGCAAUCUAACAGAAAUCUGAGUCACAGGCUCUGUUCCAACGGGACAGCUGUUGGUGCCUGCUUGCAUUUGUUCUUUCGAUAAAGUGGGCUCAGUUUAAAACCAAGGAGUCUUCAAUCUCGACUUCCCACACUGCCAAGCAGCAUGAGAGAAAGAAUUUGAUGAGGCAUGGGAAGAGCCUGGAUGGAGCUUGACUCACUCAACUCCAGAGGUCAAGGGGAGCUCUGGGAUCCUGUGAACCUGGCAGGAGGCAUUCCCUGCCUUCCAGACCUGCCCCAUCCCCAUUUGAAAAUUGACUUUCUGAAGGAAGCAUCACUAAGCUAGUGAGAUCCCUGCUCACUCCUAAGUUUUAGUGAGGUGCAAAAGGAGGCGCGCAACAGCAGCUUAGACAAUCAGGUUGCAUCACACAAGGUCACAUUUUCAGAUCCAGGAAGGCACAAGGCAGUUUUCCCACUGCCACAGACAGCUUUGCAAUGCACGUCAGGGCUGGUUCAGAAAUAGGACAACACACAGGAGGCUUUUGCCAGUUGGGGGGGAGGACGGGACGGGACACACUGAAAAACAGCAGCUGCACGCAUCCCAUAAGACACCUACCAAAGGUUUCUCCAGGAUAGGACUGACACGUCCUGGCCUCAUUUCAGUGCACAUCAAGGGAUGUUAACAGGAGAGGCACACGCUACUUCCACGAGCAGUUAGGCCUUCUUGAAAGCAAUCUUGAGUGCCAGAGCAGGUUCUGCUCUGCUUCAAGAAACGUGGCAGGGACAAGCCCAGUUCAACUCAGACCCUUCCUCCAGGUGGAGGCUAGAUUUCUGUGCUUGAGAAUGUGCCGCCGAUAUUUCUGUGGAGUUACCACAGGUUAGUCGGCCAGAAAGUCUAGGCGAACAUUUGACAGAAACCCAAGUGCAAUCUUUCUAGUAGGUGUCUUGGAGAAGAGCAUACAGGAGAGAAAGCAGGAAAAGGAACACGACAGUAAGUCUCAGGAUUGGUCGGGGGGCGAGGGGGAGUUCCUAGUUUUAAGUCUCACAAAUGAUGCAUAUUAUUCCUUUCAGAAGAACUAACAAAACAACUUCCUUCAGAGUUAGUAACAAGAGGAACUAGGCAAACGGGUCUCAGACUUGAGGGGUGCUGCACUUUUAGGGGCUGUCUUCCCCGUAUGCAGACUGCUGAGCUAACUGGGUCAAACGCCAGAGGAGCAUUUCUUUGGUAAAACAGCCUCAUUCUUGUAGGUUUUCCAAGCACAGGGAAAAUGCCCAGCAGCUGGUGGCUCUGUGAGCCCAGGAACAGCUUCAGAAAUCUAAACCACGAAGGCUGCGGUGGGAUACUCCCAAUUAAGCACAGCUGGUUUGCAUAGUCUUGUCUGCUGCUGCUUGUGUAACUCACCACCUACGGCUGCCCAGAUCGGAAUAACUCGCACUAACCUCCUCAAACCAGUCACCCGCGUCAGAAAGGCUCCGCUCCACAUUCCUAACCGAGAACUCUGAAGGGUCCGUUGCUGCUUGUCAGCAUGAAGCUUACCCACAGGGAAAAAGCCAUGUCAGGGCAGCAUACUGAGGAGGAAGAAAUGAGGGAUGUAAAUAUUUUAAAAGUUCACUGUAAACGAUUAAAAUGGUAUGGUUUAACCCAUUAACUGAUGAAAGGAAGAGGAGAGGGAGCUAUGCCAGCCAGCAUGGCUGGGGCUAUGCCAGCCAGUGUGGAUUAAGAGUAAGGCUAACACUUACCACUUGGCCAUGUCAAUAUUUUACUUCCCUAGAAGAAGUGGGGACCAGUGUUUUUGAUAUAGCUCAACUUCCUGUCACAUGUACUUCUGGGAAUUGCCUAGCACUUCACAGUGACCAUCACCAUGAGUUUAGGCUUCACUAUCUGACAGUUGUUUCUGCUCAUAAACAACAGAUAUUUAUCAAGUCUCAGUUUUGUUACUUGUCCUAUUUGAACAUUUCUCCUCUCGCCCAAGUAAUUCCUUAGCUCUGAGUAGCAAGAGAGCUCAGAAAGAUCACAGACAACUUUCCCACAGACCACCAUGGAAUUCCCAAAGAUGGGAAAGUUACCCAGAGCCUUCAGACCAUUUUCUUUAUUCUGUUAGAUAUUUCCCACCCGGGCUGCUUGGAAGAGAAGUGAAACUAAGGACCUCAGCCCCAGUGAGACCUGUGCCCCUGAAAAUCCUCCCAUAGCACAGUAGGGGUUUGCCUGACAGGUACUUUGCACAUCAAAGUGAAAAGCAAAAGGGCAAGAAGAUUCUGAACAGAAAUAUCAGGGAGACACACACAAGCAUUUCAGAGUUUGAGCCCCUGGGCAGAGCUGUCCCCAUCAUGCUCUCACACAUUGGUCCCACCCAGAACUUCAAGCCACUGUCUGGUUUUCCUAACUGCUCUUCCUUGCUAGGGGGAGUGGAUGGCAGAAUUAGCUCUGCAAAGUUGCUUUGAGAGGGGUAUUGCUUCAGUUCUAUUGAAAUCUCACAUUCUCUUCCCUGCCAUGGAUAAAACCACUGACAUUUGUAGGUACCAAACAGACAGGAGGAGUCAGUGAUGAAUGCAGCUUUAAUAGAAAACAGUGUUAACAAAAAAAAAAAAA